GAAACGACUGCUAAUACCGCAUAAGCCCACGACCCGGCAUCGGGUUGAGGGAAAAGGAGCAAUCCGCUUUGAGAUGGCUUCGCGUCCGAUUAGCUAGUUGGUGAGGUAACGGCCCACCAAGGCAACGAUCGGUAGCCGGACUGAGAGGUUGAACGGCCACAUUGGGACUGAGACACGGCCCAGACUCCUACGGGAGGCAGCAGUGGGGAAUAUUGCACAAUGGGGGAAACCCUGAUGCAGCGACGCCGCGUGGAGGAAGAAGGUCUUCGGAUUGUAAACUCCUGUUGUUGAGGAAGAUAAUGACGGUACUCAACAAGGAAGUGACGGCUAACUACGUGCCAGCAGCCGCGGUAAAACGUAGGUCACAAGCGUUGUCCGGAAUUACUGGGUGUAAAGGGAGCGCAGGCGGGAAGACAAGUUGGAAGUGAAAUCCAUGGGCUCAACCCAUGAACUGCUUUCAAAACUGUUUUUCUUGAGUAGUGCAGAGGUAGGCGGAAUUCCCGGUGUAGCGGUGGAAUGCGUAGAUAUCGGGAGGAACACCAGUGGCGAAGGCGGCCUACUGGGCACCAACUGACGCUGAGGCUCGAAAGUGUGGGUAGCAAACAGGAUUAGAUACCCUGGUAGUCCACACCGUAAACGAUGAUUACGAGGUGUUGGAGGAUUGACCCCUUCAGUG
rnacentral:rRNA from 1 species